rnacentral:lncRNA from 1 species
UUCUACCCUUGUGAUUAUUUUUCCAUAUGAACUUCAAUAUCAACUUGUCUAGAUCCAAAAACCCAACCAAAAAAACCUACUGUUGUUAUCUCAAUUGGGAUUGCAUUGACUUCAUAUGCUAAAUUACUGGAGAACUGACAUACUGAUGAUAUUGAGGCUUUCUAUCCAAAUGUCUCUACAUCUGUUCAAGCCACUUUCAUGUUUUUUAGAAAUGUUUUACAGUGUUUUUUUGGUGUGUGUGUUGCUGUUUUUUGUAUUUGAGACAGGGUCUUGCACUGUCGCCCAAGCUGGAGUGUAAUGGCAUGAAACAGCAUCCUGCAGCCUCAUCUUCCUGGGCUCAAGCAACCCUCCUGCCUCAGCCUUCCUAGUAGCUGGGACCACAGGUGUGCACCACCACGCCCAGCUAAUUUUUUUUAUUUUUUGUAGAGACGAGGGUCUCACUUUGUUGCCCAGGUUAGUCUCAAACUCCCAGGCUCAAGCAAUCCUCCUGUUUUGGCCUCCCAAAGCAUUGGGAUUACAGGCGUACACCACAAUUCUUGGCCUACAGUUUUCUUCUUACGGGCUUUGUACAUUUCUUGCCUCCUGGUAUUUUUAAGGAAAUGUAAGACUGUGAAUCAGGUACUGAUGGUUUUGACUUCAUUAUGAUCAGCAUCUUUGGCUUCCAUCAGAGUAGACACUGAACGUUUUCAUCCAACUGGAUGAUGAGUGCAUUAAUACUCUUCACUCUCAACUCAGGGAAAAGGACCCUGACAGGACACCCUCCUGUCGGAGCUAACAGAUGUGCACCUUUGAGAAUGAUCAUUGAGAAGAGAACCUGGACCACGACGCAGGGCCUGAUGCCAGCUUCACUCUGGAUCUGCAGAGUCCUUCCUGCAGUGACCACCAUGACUCGUUCUUCAGAUGAGACUCACCCAGGUGCAGUGUGCAACAAGAGAUCUUUUCAGUCUUUCUCUUUUGCCAUCCUCCCUAGCACAUUGAAACUAUAAACUGUGUUCUCACACAAUCCAGAGGCACUGUAAAAUACCUUGCAGAUAUAUAGUACUUUAGUUUCCAACACAUGCCCAUUGUGCUCAAAGAGGCAGAGCCAGUGGGAGAUACACAUGACAAGAUUUAUUGCAGGGAAUUGGUUUAUGUAAUUGUGGGGCCUGGCCAGGCAAGUUCAAAAUCUGUAGGGUGGGCUCUCACGAAAACCAUGCUAGGACUGUCCAGUACAGCCAAGCACAUGAGUGGAAUUUCUUCUUCCCCAGGGAAGCAUCAGCUUUGCUCUUAAAAUACUUCAACUGAUUGGAUCAGGCCCACUCAGAUUAUCUGGGAUGAUCUCCUUUACUUAAACCUAACUAAUAUGGACUUUCUUCAUAUCCACAAAAUCCAUGCAUACCACCUAGAUUCGUGUUUGACUGAAUAACUGGGAACUGUAACCCACCCAAAUUAACAAGCAAAACUGAUCAUCACGCCUAUGUAGUAGAGAAGGAAGAUAUUGCCAUUUACUUUUUUCUACUGGGGAACUAGAAGCAGAGAGAACUAAAAUUAUUUGCCUAAGGACACACAGCUAACUCACUUUUUGUUUUUCAGUUGGAGAAUGGAUUAGCAAUUCCUACUUGGUGUGAUGUUGUGAGGAGUUAAUUAAAUCCAUUCCAGUUGUGUAUGUACAGACCCUCAAUUUUGUAUAAAAAACAUCAGCCAGGUGCAGUGGCUCAUGCCUGUAAUCCCAGCA